rnacentral:lncRNA from 1 species
UGGCCUCCCAAAGUGCUGGGAUUAUAGGCAUGAGCCACCGUGCUCUGCCCCUGAUGUCUUUAUAAGAGAAAGGAGAGGGAGAUUUGAGAACCACAGUGAAGAUGGCCUAUGAAGGCAGAGAUCAGAGUGAUGCUGCCACAUGAAGGAGCACCCGGGAUCACCAGAAACUGGAAGAGUUUGUGGUCAUUUGUUACCAAAGCAAACUCAUCCAGAACCCAAGGGAUAUAGGCUCAGAAAUGUGCACCUCAUGGUAAAGAAACACUACAAGCCACUGCAAAGCUGAAGGAGACAGGGAAUGGGGAGGAAGUCCCCAGGCUCAAUCUCAAAGAUCUUGGCUGAAGCCCGGUUGCUCCUCGGCUCCAGAAGAGCUAGGUGGACAUGGUAUGCCUCAUAUCCUCAGGUGAAUACUUGGCAUCGGUCAGAAGGAUAUCCUGAGAUGCUGUGAGGGAUCUUUGAAAAUAUUUACUCUCCAGCAUGUAAAUAUACCGAAAGAUCUUCCUGCUAUUAACAUAUCUCCGUCUUUGGGAGGGCGGGGACUUGGCUUUUCAGUCCAGAUUUGACCAGAGUGCACGUCAAGGCUCUACUGUAGACACCCACUCUGGGAGGUCAUUGCACAAAGCCCAAAUCCCUUUGCAGGGCCCACAAGGCCCUCCAAGGCCUGGCCCCUGCCUCCCUUCCCAGCCCCAUCUCAUCCACCAUAUUGAAUCCUCCCCACUCCGAGAAUGCACCACUCUCUUGGCCAUGUGCCUUAAUGCAACCCCUCCUCACCCUCUCAAACCACCCACCCAGCCCCUCUCCCCUGCCCCUUCUUCCACAAAGC